UACGUAGGGUGCGAGCGUUAAUCGGAAUUACUGGGCGUAAAGCGUGCGCAGGCGGUUUUGUAAGCCAGGUGUGAAAUCCCCGGGCUCAACCUGGGAAUGGCAUUUGGGACUGCAAGGCUGGAGUGUGGCAGAGGAGACUGGAAUUCCUGGUGUAGCAGUGAAAUGCGUAGAUAUCAGGAGGAAUACCGAUGGCGGAGGCAGGUCUCUGGGCUGACACUGACGCUCAUGCACGAAAGCGUGGGGAGCAAACAGG
rnacentral:rRNA from 1 species